rnacentral:snoRNA from 12 species
GGAUUGAUGAUGACUCGCCAAAUACACAUUCCUUGGAAAGCUGAACAAAAUGAGUGAAAACUCUAUACCGUUGUCCUCAUCGAACUGAGGUCC